rnacentral:rRNA from 1 species
CCUACGGGAGGCAGCAGUAGGGAAUCUUUCACAAUGGGCGAAAGCCUGAUGGAGCAACGCCGCGUGCAGGAUGAAGGCCUUCGGGUUGUAAACUGCUUUUAUAAGCGAGAAAUAUGAUGGUAACUUAUGAAUAAGGAUCGGCUAACUACGUGCCAGCAGCCGCGGUCAUACGUAGGAUCCGAGCAUUAUCCGGAGUGACUGGGUGUAAAGAGUUGCGUAGGUGGCAUAAUAAGUAGCUAGUGAAAUCUGGUGGCGCAACCAUUCAGACUAUUAGCUAAACUGUUAAGCUCGAGACCGUUAGGGGUAACUGGAAUGUCUAGUGUAGGAGUGAAAUCCGUAGAUAUUAGAAGGAACACCGAUAGCGUAGGCAGGUUGCUGGGACGGUUCUGACACUAAGGCACGAAAGCGUAGGGAGCAAACGGGAUUAGAUACCCCAGUAGUC